rnacentral:rRNA from 1 species
UACGUAGGGUGCGAGCGUUAAUCGGAAUUACUGGGCGUAAAGCCUGCGCAGGCGGCUUUGCAAGACAGAUGUGAAAUCCCCGGGCUCAACCUGGGAACUGCAUUUGUGACUGCAAGGCUAGAGUACGGCAGAGGGGGAUGGAAUUCCGCGUGUAGCAGUGAAAUGCGUAGAUAUGCGGAGGAACACCAAUGGCGAAGGCAAUCCCCUGGGCCUGUACUGACGCUCAUGCACGAAAGCGUGGGGAGCAAACAGG